UACGGAGGGUGCAAACGUUGCUCGGAAUCAUUGGGCGUAAAGCGCACGUAGGCGGCUCGUUAAGUCGGAUGUGAAAGCCCCGGGCUCAACCCGGGAAGUGCAUUCGAAACUGGCGAGCUUGAAUAUGGAAGAGGGUCGCGGAAUUCCCGGUGUAGAGGUGAAAUUCGUAGAUAUCGGGAGGAACACCAGUGGCGAAGGCGGCGACCUGGGCCAAUAUUGACGCUGAGGCACGAAAGCGUGGGGAGCAAAAGGG
rnacentral:rRNA from 1 species